CCCUUAGCUGUCCUGGGCUGCACGCGCGCUACACUGAUGUGUCCAGUAAGCACCUAACCUAUUCCGAGAGGAGCGGGUAACCUUAGCAAAGCACAUCGUGAUGGGGAUAGAUUAUUGCAAUUAUUAGUCUUGAACGAGGAAUUCCUAGUAAGCACAAGUCAUCAGCUUGUGUUGAUUACGUCCCUGCCCUUUGUACACACCGCCCGUCGCUCCUACCGAUUGAAUGUUCCGGUGAGCUCUUCGGACUGCGCGGUCUGCAGUUUCUGCGUUCCGUGCGGAAAGUUGUGCAAACCUUAACAUUUAGAGGAAGGAGAAGUCGUAACA
rnacentral:rRNA from 1 species